AUUGAACGCUGGCGGCAGGCCUAACACAUGCAAGUCGAACGAGUGGCGGACGGGUGAGUAAUGUCUGGGAAACUGCCCGAUGGAGGGGGAUAACUACUGGAAACGGUAGCUAAUACCGCAUACCAUCGGAUGUGCCCAGAUGGGAUUAGCUAGUAGGUGGGGUAACGGCUCACCUAGGCGACGAUCCCUAGCUGGGCUGAGAGGAUGACCAGCCACACGGGAACUGGUACACGGUCCAGACUCCUACGGGGGGUGGCUGUGUGGAAUAUUGCACAAUGGGCGCAAGCCUGAUGCAGCCAUGCCGCGUGUAUGAAGAAGGCCGUCGGGUUGUAAAGUACUUUCAGCGAGGAGGCGUUACUCGCAGAAGAAGCGCCGGCUAACUCCGUGCCAGCCGCCGCGGUAAUUC
rnacentral:rRNA from 1 species